GUGGGGCCAGUGGGGCGCACACGUCACCUACGACGUCACGGAGCCGCCGGGAGUCGAGCGCGCUUUGAAAACAGGACGAAGUGUUGCUGCUCUGCCGGGCAAGGAGCGCACUGCGAGGUACGGCUGCGCGACGACUGGAACGCGUAUUCGUCACCCUGCAGAGUACACGAGAGGAACUCAAUCAUCCUCCAAGUGUCGGAGAGCAUCGUCAGUGAGUGAGCCCCUGAGACCUGCCUGGUGAUGAGCUACCCCCAGCAGAACCCCUACUACCAGCCACAGCCACAGCCGGGUUUCCAGAUGCCCCCGCAGGGCGGCUACUACCCGCCUCCACAGCAGCCAGCGCCCUACUACCCACCGCCGCAGCCGCAGGCCACCACCGUGGUCGUGCACGAAAAGAAGAAGGAUGACGACUGCUGGAAGAACUGCUGCCUCUGCACGCUUUGCAUGGCGCUGUGCUGUUGGUGUUGCAGUGACUGAGGCCGGAGACUGCGUGUGCGUGGAGCCUCCACCGGGAGCGAAUGGGAGGGAGGGCGGAAAAGCACGCUGCGAUGGGCGCGAACGGCGGGAGGCUGGCUUCCCUCGGGGUUGCGGUACCGCCGCCACACUGGCGUCCGAUGGCCAUUGCGCCGCGGAAGUCGAUGCAAUGACGGUGGGAUGACGGGCAAGGGUGGCGGCGGCUUCACUUCCCCGCGGGGUUUAUAUACGGCGCCUUCCUCGUGUACAACUUGUCGAGCGAGUCAGUGCGUGCAUGUCCGUCCCGCCCUAAGGACUUUACCCUGCGUUCCGCCCGAGAGCACCGAAGAUGACGCGUCUGGCGAUUAUUCGCUCGCGUGACAAUGGCGUAGCAACUUGCAUUAUUAACGCGCGCAGUACGGGAAAGGUAUGUAGCGUCCCGGCGCUGUCGCCAUGCGCGGACGGAUGCUCGAACGUUUCCAUCUAUGAAGAUAUCCAGCGAGGUUUCCCAGCCUGUAUAACCGUCCAGUGGUAUGCCAAAUUAAAGGGAUAUUGAUUAGGUCGUCUACAGUUUUUCUACGUAAAAUGUUCUGUGGGGUUUUUAUAUUUCACAUCACACGUAGCGUUGCUGCCUGAUAUAUGUUGUACUUUUUUAUCAUGUACAUACGGAAUAAUGUGUAUAAACAGCGAUAAAUUUACGUCACUGGCUGGUUUGAUGGUGUCAUUUUUUUAGGAUGUACUCGAAAAGAAUAUGUUCUUGUUUGUUUUGGAACAGUACACUGCGCCGUGUGCUAUAGUAUGGCGUUGGAAACUUAAACCCACGCAUGCUAUGCUUCGAAAUGAAUUCGUUGCCUCGCUCUCAUAUGCGUUCUGAAUAUUUAGUUGAGACAGUGUUCAAGGCUGUUGAAAGCUAUAAAUUUCUAUUCUGUGCCAUUGGUAUAUCACUGGCAUGCCUCUGAUAUAUCAAUAAGCUGGGUUUAGAGGGAAACAAAACGUCUAUACUUCGACAUGUAGACAUAAUGGUUCACCCUUAAAGGAAAAAUAUAUCCGGUAAUACAGCAAAUGUGUCGAAACAUUUCUUCAGCUCUAUCGACAAAAUGUGGCUGAUAUGUGUUUACGAAAGACAUUUUUGUAUAAAGAAAUUAUCUGUAAGCUUUCAUGUCGCAUCUUAGCAGUAAUAGAUAAAAGUCAAACUGGGCGUUUUCUUUAGCAUACAGUAUAUAAGGUGUCCUAGCUAACGUUUGCAUAGCUGUUAAAAACACUGCUAGAUGCGAUUAUAAGUCCUGCGCGUCUUCGGUCGUCCGACCUCUGACAACCGAACACCGUAUAAGUCAUAUAAUCGUAUGUUGCACCGUGUUUCUUUUUUUUUUUUUCUUAACAGCUUGUCCAACGUUAGCUGGGACACCCUAGAUAACAACGUACAGAUAAGUUGUAUGAGUAACGCCAGCGUGAUGACUGCGUUAGUGUACUCCGCUUCUUUGUCCGUAAGUAGGCUUCCGACUUCGUGUGAAUUAUUUUUAGAAAAUUGAAAUCGUCGAAUGUUUCUUGGUGUUUCAGCGUUUAUAUAGAUAAAAAAAUAAAAUGUUGCCAAAGGUGA